UUUUACACAGUGUAUUUUCUGUUGAGCUUGUCUCAGACGGGCGGUGGUGGCACAUUUCAGCACAGCCUCCGUCUGCUUCCUGUGGCAUUGUACGACUAACUAACCCGGAGUUACCACCCAGCGCCGGCCUCCUCCUCAUCCUCACUGGGUACACAGAGCAGACAACAUGCAGUGUGGGCAUCGGCUCGGUGUAAAGAGCUCCAGCGAAAUUCACCCACAGUCUCUGAAGUUUCCGCCAGCUGACUUUUUAGGUCAGACAGGAACAAGGUUUAAUCAGAGCCGAGAUAAAAGCUGACUGACGACACUCCUGUAUGCUCCUCUACUCCACCCCACCACCCUCGCUAUUCCCUCAUGUUUCCUCAUCCGACUUCUUAACUUCCAAUCGUUAACGUUCGGCAGCAGGGAGGAGGAUGCAGCUUUUUGGUUCCAUGUUAUGCUGCAAACAGAACUUGUGUUUGUCUCAGCAGAUGAAUGUACAGAUGGACACAGAUGGAUAUUGUAUCUCCAUGGUUCAGUGGUGGGAGACGGGAUUUGGUUUGUUUGUGUGUGUGUGUGUGUGUGUGUGUGUGCACAUUUGUCUGAGUGUAAAACAUCACGAACAGCAUCAAGUGUGUGUUGUGGUUUUGUGAGAGUUUUUUUUUCAUCUUUUCUUUUCCUCUGUCUUCUCGCACCCUGGAUUACCCAGAAUGCCUUUGCUCCCUGGCAGCAUGGAGGUCUGCUGAGUUUGCCUUCAUGCACACAGAGAGAGAGAGAGAGAGAAUGAGAGAGCGAGAGAGAACGAGAGAGAGAGAGAGAGAGAGAAAACAGGACAAAGCAGAGAUUAUGAGUGUGCAAGUGUGAGUCUUUGUGUGUGUGUGUGUGUGUGGCAGUGAGUGUGAGAGCACUUAAUGUUUGUUUGUGCAGGAAAAGUAGAACAGGGGGAGGAAAAAAUCUACCUGACCUGCUGACAGAGCAGUAUUUCCCAAAUACAGCAACAACAAGAAAAAAAAACAAAAAAACACAACACACAGGAUAUAUCCCUUCCCCCAAACCCAACACCGCCCUCCAUCUAUGGAAAACAACAACACUGCACAACACUAACUCUGCCGGUCCUCACAGUCUCUCUUGAUUAUGACAAAUCAGAUUGACUCAAAUGACAUUAGAAAAUCAGGAUGACUCACACCGUGAAGGAUUCACGAAGCCGAUUCAGAAGAGAGCUGGUGAAUCCUUUUCCAAAUUGUCCUUAAGACACCUAUAAGCUGUGGGAGCCGCAUGGUUUGCAUAGCGACACUUCGGCUGUUAUAUUUAAGAUAUAAUAUGUUGGAUUUCUACAUUAAAGAUAUCUAAAAUAA